UUCGGGAUCCGUGAUAAGGGGACGGCGAGUGNCAGCAUCAUAUGCUGGCUGUCAGGGUGUGUAAAAUACACCUGUUAGCAAGGGCCGGGCAAGACCGGUGCCAGCCGCCGCGGUAACACCGGCGGCCCGAGUGGUGAUCGUGAUUAUUGGGUCUAAAGGGUCCGUAGCCGGUUUGGUCAGUCCUCCGGGAAAUCUGAUAGCUCAACUAUUAGGCUUUCGGGGGAUACUGCCAGACUUGGAACCGGGAGAGGUAAGAGGUACUACAGGGGUAGGAGUGAAAUCUUGUAAUCCCUGUGGGACCACCUGUGGCGAAGGCGUCUUACCAGAACGGGUUCGACGGUGAGGGACGAAAGCUGGGGGCACGAACCGGAUUAGAUACCCGGGUAGUCCCAGCCGUAAACGAUGCUCGCUAGGUGUCAGGCAUGGCGCGACCGUGUCUGGUGCCGCAGGGAAGCCGUGAAGCGAGCCACC
rnacentral:rRNA from 1 species